rnacentral:rRNA from 1 species
GUGUCAGCCGCCGCGGUAAAACGUAGGACGCAAGCGUUAUCCGGAGUUACUGGGCGUAAAGCGCGGGCAGGCGGUCCCUGAAGUCCGACGUGAAAGCUCCCGGCUCAACCGGGAGAGGCCGUUGGAAACUCGAGGACUGGAGAGCAGCAGAGGUGGGCGGAAUUCCGGGUGGAGUGGUGAAAUGCGUAGAGAUCCGGAGGAACACCAGAGGCGAAGGCGGCCCACUGGGCUGCAUCUGACGCUGAGCCGCGACAGCCAGGGGAGCGAACGGGAUUAGAUACCCCCGUAGUCC